rnacentral:misc_RNA from 1 species
GAUGAAGAACGCAGCGAAAUGCGAUAAGUAAUGUGAAUUGCAGAAUUCAGUGAAUCAUCGAAUCUUUGAACGCACCUUGCGCCCUUUGGCCAUUCCGAAGGGCAUGCCUGUUUGAGUAUCAUGAACACCUCAACUCUUUAUGGUUUUCCAUGAUGAGCUUGGACUUUGGGGGUUUUGCUGGCCUAUGGUCGGCUCCUCUAAAAUAAAUCAGCUUACCGGUGUUUGGUGGGUAUCAUGGGUGUGAUAACUAUCUACGCUUGUGGUUUUUCCACCAGGUAACCUUCGACAGCGGAGGUUCACUGGAGCUCAUAGAUGUCUCUCCUCAGCGAGGACAGCCCUUUGAAUGUUUGAUCUCAAAUCAGGUAGGACUACCCGCUGAACUUAAGUAUAUCAAUAAGCGGAGGA